rnacentral:rRNA from 1 species
AGAGCGAACGCUGGCGGCAGGCCUAACACAUGCAAGUCGAGCGCCCCGCAAGGGGAGCGGCAGACGGGAGAGUAACACGUGGGAACGUGCCCUUUGGUUCGGAACAACACAGGGAAACUUGUGCUAAUACCGGAUAAGCCCUUACGGGGAAAGAUUUAUCGCCAAAGGAUCGGCCCGCGUCUGAUUAGCUUGUUGGUGAGGUAACGGCUCACCAAGGCGACGAUCAGUAGCUGGUCUGAGAGGAUGAUCAGCCUCACUGGGACUGAGACACGGCCCAGACUCCUACGGGAGGCAGCAGUGGGGAAUAUGGACAAUGGGCGCAAGCCUGAUCCAGCCAUGCCGCGUGGGUGAUGAAGGCCCUAGGGUUGUAAAGCCCUUUCGGCGGGGAAGAUAAUGACGGUACCCGCAGAAGAAGCCCCGGCUAACUUCGUGCCAGCAGCCGC